AUUGAACGCUGGCGGCAUGCCUUACACAUGCAAGUCGAACGGCAGCACGGGUGCUUGCACCUGGUGGCGAGUGGCGAGCGGGUGAGUAAUAUAUCGGAACGUACCCUAGAGUGGGGGAUAACGCAGCGAAAGUUGCGCUAAUACCGCGUACGAUCUACGGAUGAAAGUGGGGGAUCGCAAGACCUCAUGCUCAUGGAGCG
rnacentral:rRNA from 1 species